CCCUACGGGGGGCAGCAGUAGGGAAUCUUCCACAAUGGGCGAAAGCCUGAUGGAGCAACGCCGCGUGAGGGAAGACUGCCCUAUGGGUUGUAAACCUCUUUUGUCAGGGAGCAACGCCGGCUACGUGUAGCCGGACUGAGAGUACCUGAAGAAAAAGCAUCGGCUAACUCCGUGCCAGCAGCCGCGGUAAUACGGAGGAUGCGAGCGUUAUCCGGAUUUAUUGGGUUUAAAGGGUGCGUAGGCGGUCCGUUAAGUCAGCGGUAAAAUUGCGGGGCUCAACCCCGUCGAGCCGUUGAAACUGGCAG
rnacentral:rRNA from 1 species